rnacentral:rRNA from 1 species
AAAUUGAAGAGUUUGAUCAUGGCUCAGAUUGAACGCUGGCGGCAGGCCUAACACAUGCAAGUCGAACGGUAGCACAGAGAGCUUGCUCUCGGGUGACGAGUGGCGGACGGGUGAGUAAUGUCUGGGAAACUGCCCGAUGGAGGGGGAUAACUACUGGAAACGGUAGCUAAUACCGCAUAACGUCGCAAGACCAAAGUGGGGGACCUUCGGGCCUCACACCAUCGGAUGUGCCCAGAUGGGAUUAGCUAGUAGGUGGGGUAACGGCUCACCUAGGCGACGAUCCCUAGCUGGUCUGAGAGGAUGACCAGCCACACUGGAACUGAGACACGGUCCAGACUCCUACGGGAGGCAGCAGUGGGGAAUAUUGCACAAUGGGCGCAAGCCUGAUGCAGCCAUGCCGCGUGUAUGAAGAAGGCCUUCGGGUUGUAAAGUACUUUCAGCGAGGAGGAAGGCGUUGUGGUUAAUAACCACAGCGAUUGACGUUACUCGCAGAAGAAGCACCGGCUAACUCCGUGCCAGCAGCCGCGGUAAUACGGAGGGUGCAAGCGUUAAUCGGAAUUACUGGGCGUAAAGCGCACGCAGGCGGUUUGUUAAGUCAGAUGUGAAAUCCCCGGGCUCAACCUGGGAACUGCAUUUGAAACUGGCAAGCUUGAGUCUCGUAGAGGGGGGUAGAAUUCCAGGUGUAGCGGUGAAAUGCGUAGAGAUCUGGAGGAAUACCGGUGGCGAAGGCGGCCCCCUGGACAAAGACUGACGCUCAGGUGCGAAAGCGUGGGGAGCAAACAGGAUUAGAUACCCUGGUAGUCCACGCCGUAAACGAUGUCUACUUGGAGGUUGUGCCCUUGAGGCGUGGCUUCCGGAGCUAACGCGUUAAGUAGACCGCCUGGGGAGUACGGCCGCAAGGUUAAAACUCAAAUGAAUUGACGGGGGCCCGCACAAGCGGUGGAGCAUGUGGUUUAAUUCGAUGCAACGCGAAGAACCUUACCUGGUCUUGACAUCCACGGAAGUUUUCAGAGAUGAGAAUGUGCCUUCGGGAACCGUGAGACAGGUGCUGCAUGGCUGUCGUCAGCUCGUGUUGUGAAAUGUUGGGUUAAGUCCCGCAACGAGCGCAACCCUUAUCCU